AUUGAACGCUGGCGGCAGGCCUAACACAUGCAAGUCGAACGGAGCGGCGGACGGGUGAGUACUGCCUAGGAAUCUGCCUGGUAGUGGGGGAUAACGUCCGGAAACGGGCGCUAAUACCGCAUCCUAUCAGAUGAGCCUCGGUCGGAUUAGCUAUUUGGUGGGGGAAAGGCCUACCAAGGGGACGAUCCGUAACUGGUCUGAGAGGAUGAUCAGUCAACCUGGAACUGAGACACGGUCCAGACUCCUACGGGAGGCAGCAGUGGGGAAUAUUGGACAAGGGGCGAAAGCCUGAUCCAGCCAUGCCGCGUGUGGGAAGAAGGUCUUCGGAUUGUAAAGGACUUUAAGUUGGGAGGCGUUACCAACAGAAUAAGCACCGGCUAACUUCGUGCCAGCAGCCGCGGUAAUAC
rnacentral:rRNA from 1 species